UUGCACGCUGGCGGCAGGCCUAACCCAUGCCGGUCGAGCGGAUGAAGGGAGCUUGCUCCUGGAUUCAGCGGCGGACGGGUGAGUAAUGCCUAGGAAUCUGCCUGGUAGUGGGGGAUAACGUCCGGAAACGGGCGCUAAUACCGCAUACGUCCUGAGGGAGAAAGUGGGGGAUCUUCGGACCUCACGCUAUCAGAUGAGCCUAGGUCGGAUUAGCUAGUUGGUGGGGUAAAGGCCUACCAAGGCGACGAUCCGUAACUGGUCUGAGAGGAUGAUCAGUCACACUGGAACUGAGACACGGUCCAGACUCCUACGGGAGGCAGCAGUGGGGAAUAUUGGACAAUGGGCGAAAGCCUGAUCCAGCCAUGCCGCGUGUGUGAAGAAGGUCUUCGGAUUGUAAAGCACUUUAAGUUGGGAGGAAGGGCAGUAAGUUAAUACCUUGCUGUUUUGACGUUACCAACAGAAUAAGCACCGGCUAACUUCGUG
rnacentral:rRNA from 1 species